rnacentral:rRNA from 1 species
AUUGAACGCUGGCGGCAGGCCUAACACAUGCAAGUCGAACGGUAACAGAAAGCAGCUUGCUGCUUUGCUGACGAGUGGCGGACGGGUGAGUAAUGUCUGGGAAACUGCCUGAUGGAGGGGGAUAACUACUGGAAACGGUAGCUAAUACCGCAUAACGUCGCAAGACCAAAGAGGGGGACCUUCGGGCCUCUUGCCAUCGGAUGUGCCCAGAUGGGAUUAGCUAGUAGGUGGGGUAACGGCUCACCUAGGCGACGAUCCCUAGCUGGUCUGAGAGGAUGACCAGCCACACUGGAACUGAGACACGGUCCAGACUCCUACGGGAGGCAGCAGUGGGGAAUAUUGCACAAUGGGCGCAAGCCUGAUGCAGCCAUGCCGCGUGUAUGAAGAAGGUCUUCGGGUUGUAAAGUACUUUCAGCGGGGAGGAAGGGAGUAAAGUUAAUACCUUUGCUCAUUGACGUUACCCGCAGAAGAAGCACCGGCUAACUCCGUG